GACGAACGCUGGCGGCGUGCUUAACACAUGCAAGUCGAACGGAAAGGCCCUGCUUUUGUGGGGUGCUCGAGUGGCGAACGGGUGAGUAACACGUGAGUAACCUGCCCUUGACUUUGGGAUAACUUCAGGAAACUGGGGCUAAUACCCGAUAGGAGCUCCUGCUGCAUGGUGGGGGUUGGAAAGUUUCGGCGGUUGGGGAUGGACUCGCGGCUUAUCAGCUUGUUGGUGGGGUAGUGGCUUACCAAGGCUUUGACGGGUAGCCGGCCUGAGAGGGUGACCGGCCACAUGGGGACUGAGAUACGGCGCAGACGCCAACGGGAGGCAGCAGUGGGGAAUAUUGCAGAAUGGGCGGAAGCCUGAGGCAACAACGCCGCGUGCGGGAUGACGGCCUUCGGGUUGUAAACCGAUUUCGCCUGUGACGAAGAGUGAGUGACGGUAAUGGGUAAAGAAGCACCGGCUAACUACGUG
rnacentral:rRNA from 1 species